UAUAUUGGUACGCGAAGCUUCCAACCCGCCUUUGGCGGUUAUGUUUGGUCAAUUUUUUUUGACCGGGGUUUACGGACCCC